rnacentral:rRNA from 1 species
UUUGAUGGCGACCGGCGCACGGGUGAGUAACACGUAUCCAACCCGCCGAUGACUCGGGGAUAGCCUUUCGAAAGAAAGAUUAAUACCCGAUGGCAUAGUUCUUCCGCAUGGUAGAACUAUUAAAGAAUUUCGGUCAUCGAUGGGGAUGCAUUCCAUUAGGUUGUUGGCGGGGUAACGGCCCACCAAGCCUUCGAUGGAUAGGGGUUCUGAGAGGAAGGUCCCCCACAUUGGAACUGAGACACGGUCCAA